rnacentral:rRNA from 1 species
GACGAACGCUGGCGGCGUGCCUAAUACAUGCAAGUAGAACGCACAGUUUAUACCGUAGCUUGCUACACCAUAGACUGUGAGUUGCGAACGGGUGAGUAACGCGUAGGUAACCUGCCUGGUAGCGGGGGAUAACUAUUGGAAACGAUAGCUAAUACCGCAUAAUAUUAAUUAUUGCAUGAUAAUUAAUUGAAAGGUGCAAUUGCACCACUACCAGAUGGACCUGCGUUGUAUUAGCUAGUAGGUGAGGUAACGGCUCACCUAGGCGACGAUACAUAGCCGACCUGGGAGGGUGAUCGGCCACACUGGGACUGAGACACGGCCCAGACUCCUACGGGAGGCAGCAGUAGGGGAUCUUCGGCAAUGGACGAAAGUCUGACCGAGCAACGCCGCGUGGGUGAAGAAGGGUUUCGGAUCGUAAAGCUCUGUUGUGAGGGAAGAACGGGUGUGAGAGUGGAAAGUUCACACUGUGGCGGUAGCUGAACAGAAAGGGACGGCUAACUACGUG